UACGUAGGGUGCAAGCGUUGUCCGGAAUUAUUGGGCGUAAAGAGCUCGUAGGCGGUUUGUUGCGUCGGCUGUGAAAUCCCGAGGCUCAACCUCGGGUCUGCAGUCGAUACGAGCAAACUAGAGUGUUGCAGGGGAGACUGGAAUUCCUGGUGUAGCGGUGAAAUGCGCAGAUAUCAGGAGGAACACCGGUGGCGAAGGCAGGUCUCUGGGCAUUAACUGACGCUGAGGAGCGAAAGCAUGGGGAGCGAACAGG
rnacentral:rRNA from 1 species